rnacentral:rRNA from 1 species
AACGUAGGUGGCAAGCGUUAUCCGGAUUUACUGGGCGUAAAGCGUGCGCAGGCGGUGAUGUAAGACAGGUGUGAAAUCCCCGGGCUUAACCUGGGAACUGCAUUUGUGACUGCAUCGCUGGAGUACGGCAGAGGGGGAUGGAAUUCCGCGUGUAGCAGUGAAAUGCGUAGAUAUGCGGAGGAACACCGAUGGCGAAGGCAAUCCCCUGGGCCUGUACUGACGCUCAUGCACGAAAGCGUGGGGAGCAAACAGG